CACGUAGGGGACGAGCGUUGUCCGGAUUCAUUGGGCGUAAAGAGCUCGUAGGCGGCUUGUUGCGUCGGUUGUGAAAGCCCGGGGCUUAACCCCGGGUCUGCAGUCGAUACGGGCAGGCUAGAGUGUGGUAGGGGAGAUCGGAAUUCCUGGUGUAGCGGUGAAAUGCGCAGAUAUCAGGAGGAACACCGGUGGCGAAGGCGGAUCUCUGGGCCAUUACUGACGCUGAGGAGCGAAAGCGUGGGGAGCGAACAGG
rnacentral:rRNA from 1 species